CUUCUUCAAUUUGUUGCGGACAGAUAAAGUGAAUGUGUGCAUCAAUGCCGCCAGCCGUAAGAAUCGAGCCUUCACCCGCAAUGACUUCGGUUCCGGGACCAAUAAUGAUGUCGACAUUAUCUUGCACAUCAGGAUUACCGGCUUUACCAACUUUCGUUAUCCGGCCAUUUUUAACACCCACAUCCCCUUUGACGAUGCCCCAAUGAUCUAACACAAGCGCGUUGGUAAUCACCAAGUCCACAGCGAAUUCAUUGGUUACUUGGCUUUGCCCCAUGCCAUCACG
rnacentral:sRNA from 1 species